UGGAAAAACAUCAUGAAAAAAGUGAAAAAAUAAAAAGCGCAUCUGUAAAGGGAGUAUAAUCUGAAACUUUUAGAAGAAAAUUAAUUAAUUUUUACCCUAAAUUAAAAAUGUGUUAGUUUAAGGACAUAAUGUUACUUUAUUCUGCUGGCUGGAUGUUUAAAGGUGCCCUAGAAUGUCAAUUUCACAAGAUGUAAUAUAAAUCUAAGGUGUCCCCAGAAUGUGUCUGUGAAGUUUCAGCUCAAAAUACCCCAUAGAUUUUUUAUUAUACCAUGUUUUAACUGCCUAUUUUGGGUUGGGAGGAAAAAUGCUCUGAUCUGUGUGUGUACACCUUUAAAUGCUCGUGCUCCCCGCCCCCAAACUUGCGACUCCAUUAAACCCUGCAUAAAUACUACAGAAGUUCACAAUAUAACUGUUAAAAUGGAUCUUUACAAACUGUUCGUGAUGCAGCAUAUCAGAUCACAUGCUUUGUAGUAUUCCCGCCAAAAAGAAACGAAUGAAUGAAUGAUGGAUUCUACAGCACUUUACUAUGUUCUACUGUACACUUAGAGGUCUCUCCUCACCCAUCAUGAUGUUCCUCCUCCACUUCACUCAGAAACAGAGGAUUUCUUAAAACUGUGACACCCAGGAAGUGACAUCAUCUGGGCUCUUUCUACAGCAUGAUGGGAGGACAAGAAAAUGAUCUCAAUCCAUUUUUACACAAACUGUACAGUGUUGAUCACAUUCAUCAACGCUGUUACCAAAGUUACUUCUUUGCAGAUUUCAGCUCUUCCUGAUGCUCUGAUGCUCGUCUGAUGGGAAUAUUCCAGCAUUUAUUGGAGAACUGUUGUGGGAGGAGCCUCACUGAUGAUGUGAUUGUUGUGGGAGGAGCUUCACUGAGGAUAUUAUUGCUCACCCUAACAUUAUUCUGUUUCUUCAUUUAAAUAUAGUCAGAUAUCUAAAAUGUGGAAAGUAAAAUAAUGUAAAUUCUUCCAAAUAUAAGUAAUGGUAUACAAAACAGUUGUAUGCAUAAAGACAAAAAUAAAUGUAUAACCAUCAAAUCCCCUCAGUCUGGUGACACCAGGGAUGGACUGGGACCAAAAAUCAGCCCUGGCAUUUUGGCCCAGACCAGCCCACCACCACAUAAGAUCACAAAUACCACCCGUCCUUGCGCUCCCCUGCCCUGAAUAGGUAUACGAACUCCUACUCUUUAAAACUACUAACGCCAUGUAAUGUGUAAGCAAGAAUCAGUGAGAGUUGACACAUUGUACUUCA